rnacentral:lncRNA from 1 species
UAUUUACUUUUCAAAAACAAAAAUCAUUUUUGGGUGACUUGGUACACCCUAACUCUAUACCAAGUGGCGACUCCAUUUUUGAUACAAAAACCCUUUUUGAACUUUAUAUGGCCAAACCGUCGCAUUAUUAAGUCCCAUGGCCUUUAUUUUCAUUUUGCACACGUUCACACACACUCACACACCACACACAUUCAAAAAGUGGGGCGCGACAAUAUUUGAAAACUGGUGCAUGUUUUAGAUGUGGCUAACUUGGAC